rnacentral:rRNA from 1 species
AUUGAACGCUGGCGGCAUGCCUUACACAUGCAAGUCGAACGGCAGCGGACCUUCGGGUGCCGGCGAGUGGCGAACGGGUGAGUAAUAUAUCGGAACGUACCUUUCAGUGGGGGAUAACGUAGCGAAAGUUACGCUAAUACCGCAUAUUCUGUGAGCAGGAAAGCAGGGGAUCGCAAGACCUUGCGCUGAUUGAGCGGCCGAUAUCAGAUUAGCUAGUUGGUGAGGUAAAGGCUCACCAAGGCGACGAUCUGUAGCGGGUCUGAGAGGAUGAUCCGCCACACUGGAACUGAGACACGGUCCAGACUCCUACGGGAGGCAGCAGUGGGGAAUAUUGGACAAUGGGGGAAACCCUGAUCCAGCUACGCCGCGUGGGUGAUGAAGGCCUUCGGGUUGUAAAGCCCUGUCGAGGGGGACGAAGUUCUGACGGUACCCCUCAAGAAAGCACCGGCUAACUCCGUG